rnacentral:rRNA from 1 species
GACGAACGCUGGCGGCGUGCUUAACCAUUGAAGGUCGACGGGAAAGGCCCUGCUUUUGGGGGGUGCUGGGGUGGCAACCGGGGAGGAAAAACGUGAGUACCCGGCCCUUGACUUUGGGAUAACUUCAGGAAACUGGGGCUAAUCCCGGAUAGGAGCUCCUGCUGAUGGGUGGGGGUGGGAAAGUUUCGGCGGUUGGGGAUGGACUCGCGGCUUAUCAGCUUGUUGGUGGGGUAGUGGCUUACCAAGGCUUUGACGGGUAGCCGGCCUGAGAGGGUGACCGGCCACAUUGGGACUGAGAUACGGCCCAGACUCCUACGGGAGGCAGCAGUGGGGAAUAUUGCACAAUGGGCGGAAGCCUGAUGCAGCAACGCCGCGUGCGGGAUGACGGCCUUCGGGUUGUAAACCGCUUUCGCCUGUGACGAAGCGUGAGUGACGGUAAUGGGUAAAGAAGCACCGGCUAACUACGUG